rnacentral:lncRNA from 1 species
UAACUACUAGAAAAAUGAGAUCUGGUUAUAAGGAUUUCUGCUUUCCCAGAUUUAUUCCUGGGUUUGUGUGUCAGGCUGAUGAAUUUAUAUAUCAUAAUAGCACUGGCAGCAAAUUUAGAGGGAGAAGUUGGCUGAUGGAAACUUCAUUCUGAAGAAUACAGGUCCUGGCAUCUUGUCCAUGACAACUGUUGGCUCAACCAAAUAGUGCCCAGGUUGUCAUCUGCACAGCUAAGACUGAUGGUGUCGCCCCCACCCCCGACAGUCUUUUGUCCUAGAGACUUAAGUAAAUCAUAUGCCUACCUUAUGACCCAGCAAACACCUCCUGGGCAUAUACCCAGUAAAACUAAAGUUCAUUUACACCAAAAGACAUGUUCAAGAAUAUUCAUAGGAGUGUGGUUCAUAGUAGCCCCAAACUAGAAAUUCACUGAAAUGCUAAUCAGCAGGUGAAGAAAUAAACCAAAUGUGCCACACUCAUGCAAUGAGAGACCACAGAGCAACAAAGGGAACCAGCCUGUGAUGCACACAUCAUGGGGGAAUCUCAAGACAGGUGGAAGUAGAAAAGGCAGACAUAAACAAAUACAUGCUGAGUUUCCAUGUAUAUCAAGGUCAAGAACAGGCAAAACUGAUCUCUGCUGAUUGCAGUUAGAACAGUUGUUAUCUUAGGAGGGACAGCUGUGUGGUGACAUGAAAGAGCCAACUGGGAACUGGUUACACAAGUUUGUACAUGAUUUUUUUAUUGUCAGUACUGGCAUUGAACCCAGGGCUUUGCACAUGUUAGGAAAGUGUUCUACCACUGAGCCACAUCCCUAGCUUGUAUAUAUAAUUUUGGGCCAGACACAGUGGCUCAAAAAUUUAAAAAUACAUAAAAUAAAA